rnacentral:rRNA from 1 species
AUUGAACGCUGGCGGAAUGCUUUACACAUGCAAGCCGAACGGCAGCACGGGGCAACCUGGUGGCGAGUGGCGAACGGUGAGUAAUACAUCGGAACGUGCCCAAUCGUGGGGAUAACGUAGCGAAAGUUACGCUAAUACCGCAUACGAUCUACGGAUGAAAGCGGGGGAUCGCAAGACCUCGCGCGAAUGGAGCGGCCGAUGUCAGAUUAGGUAGUUGGUGGGGUAAAGGCUCACCAAGCCAACGAUCUGUAGCUGGUCUGAGAGGACGACCAGCCACACUGGAACUGAGACACGGUCCAGACUCCUACGGGAGGCAGCAGUGGGAAUUUUGGACAAUGGGCGCAAGCCUGAUCCAGCCAUUCCGCGUGCAGGAUG